AUUCACGGAGAGUUUGAUCCUGGCUCAGGACGAACGCUGGCGGCGUGCUUAACACAUGCAAGUCGAACGAUGAAGCCGCUUCGGUGGUGGAUUA
rnacentral:rRNA from 1 species